rnacentral:lncRNA from 1 species
AUUUAUUUUAUUUUAUUAUUAUAAUUAUUUUUGGGUAAUCGGUUGAGUGUAGGAGGUUUUCUUGGAUACGCCUGUUUCCUUUUUUAUUCCAUAGCGAUUUUUAGUUCUUUUUUGCUGAUGUAUCAGAAACAAAAGUUACUCAUUCUUCUGGAACAGCUAGAGGAAGGCUCCUAAUUUCUCAGGUAAAUAGGUUGCAUAAAAGGCUUUUCUGUUUUGAACUCUAAUUUAGCUUCGCUAUUGAAUAAGUCAACUUUACCGUUUAUUCUAUUUUUAUGUAUUGUUGUACGUUUAUUGUAAUUGUAGCCGAUAUAUUUCAUUUUAAUUUGGAAGAAUUGUAAUUAAAUGUUGAAGUUACGAAUUAAGAUUUUAAUGCUUAUAUACCAUGAAUGGUUGUUUGAAAUAUGAAUUUAUUAGUUGCUAAAUUUUGGCUUAUUAUAUUUUUAAUUUGGGGGUGUCAUUUUUAGUUAAAUUUUGAAUUUAUGAAUUGAGUAUUUGUUGUCGUAUGUUUAUUGAUCGAUUAGGCAACAUUAGGAAUUGGUAAUGUGACAGAAAAAAGUUUAGUUCAAUGUAACAUUGGCAAUAAGAGUCCAGUUUUACUCUGCAUAUUACUGCCCAAUAAAAUAGAGUCUUGCUAUUUGGAUUUGGAGUUCGAGGAGACUGAUGAUGUGGUUUUUUGGUGAUUCGUCCAUGAAGUGUUUACCUCCCUAGUUUUUAUGUCAAUCACAGUAAGCAUUUCGAUCCACAUCGCAAUACUUAUCCUUUUUUCCUUAAUCUGUUCAUUUUCAGUGUAGUUUCGUUUUGUUGAGGUGUAAUGUUCUGUCAAUUAGCAUUUCGGUGAUUGAAUCAUUAUGCUUUUCUAUUUUUCGGUAGGCCAAGGAGGGAAGCAAUGAGAGAUUAGAGAAAAGUUAUAUUUGCUCUCCAAACUCUAUAAAUCAUGCCCUUCACAUUAAUUUUGCUUGUAGCAUGAUGUUUCCUUAACACUCCUUUUAUGUCUUGUAAGUUCUUUUAUUUUUUUAACAUCUUAAACCUUCCUCCUCCCAAAGAUUGAAAACAGGGCAAGUUUUUCUAUUUUUCAUGUGUCCAAUGAAUUAGAACACCGAUUGUACAACAAUCUCUGUGAGAUCAUCUUUGGUUUUUAUCUUGAUUCUUUAUUACCUUCACAUCAUGUAUAAUAGAUAUUCGUUUUUAUGGCAUUGUAGUUUAAACCAGAAAAAAUAGAAGCCAUUAUAGAAGAUUUUAAUGAAACAGGAAAACUUACUCCUACAGAGCUAUAUCUUAGUGGAACAAAAUAUAUAGUGAUUCGAGGGGAGCCAGUAGCUGUUAUAAGAGGAAAAAAGGGUAACGAUCUAAUGUAAAAUGUGGUUUUUAUUAUCUAUUGAUAAAUGAUUGGGAAACUUGAUUGGUUUUCAAUUUUUCUUAAAUUUGUUGCUUGCAACAGUUUUUGCAGUCAUUUUGUUUCCAUUCAAGUUCAAUUCCUGCAACUUUUGUUUUCGAUGAUGUUUUUCAUGGCUGUAACAUACAACAAUUUUACUUAAUAAUCUACCAUAAAAAAAUUACAAAAAGGGGAUUCCAAUGGACUCUAUUUUUUAGAAGUCCUGAGAGACAUUAUCAGGUAUUUCAUUUUUCCGCCUUUUGACUUCAAUGCUGAAUAGCCUUUGAAUAUAAUAUGCCUUUUGUACGUUUUCUCUGUGCUUUAACCCUAAUCUCACUCUUUCUCUCUGGAUCGUAACAUAAAAUCCCAAAUAAUCUGACCCCCAUUCACUAGAAAUCAAUUCCUAAUUUGUGUCUUUUUGCAAAACUCUUCACUUCUGAUUCCACAAAUGGAUUAAAAUUUUAUGAUUUUUUUAUUGUUAUUUUUUAUCGAAAUUUUUACUUCUUUCUUGAUAAUUUGAUUUUAUUUUUGUUGCUUCUCUUUUAUGUGAAUAUUCGUGAGGCUUAUAUGAUAGUAAAUUUUCUAAUGAUGAAAUUUUGAUUUGUUUGUGAUUUACAUUGAAUCUCUCUUACUCUUACAAUUUAGUGAUGGCCGAGUAAAUACUUUCCCAUUUGUUCAUCAUUGUUUUCAUGGUACCUUUUCAUCAUGCAUUGUUAAGUGAACAAUAACCAUUUGCCUGCACACAGUAUUCAUAUAUUUUUCAAUUGAUACACCUCUUGAAUGGUGAUAUAGGGAUCUCCUAUGCUAACCACCGCGCUAAAGUAUUUGACACUAAGAUCACUUGGGGCUUGAGCUGUUCUUCUUUAUUUGGCCAUGCAAAGAGUCUGCAACGACCCUAAAACUCCACUCUUUGCCACUGGUAAAUGACUACUCUACACUUUUUUUUUUCCUUCUUUUUCAUUUGUUUAUACAUUCAUGCUUUAUUCUUUCCAUUCAGAAUAAGAAUUUUUUUCCAUAUUAAGCAAUAAUUACAACCCUUUGAAUCUUUUUUUAGCAAACAAUUUGAAUCCCUUGAUUGUAUUCUUGUCAUUUUUAUAAGGAAUUUCUGAAGAAACCUUAAUACUAUAAUCUUCCAAUUAAUAAGGCUAAAAUCUCGCCCAGACAAUUGAAAAAUGGAGGACCCCUAUUGCUAAUUUCCCUCUUACAGAUACAUAGUAAAGCAACUUUUAAGUUCUUGUUUACACAUAUAUAUAGAACAAAAUUUAAAUUUCACAUUUCCUUUAUCAUUACGUUUUGUAUCCAUACUCUAUCCAUUAGACUCUUGAAAGGUUUAGUACGAUAGGACUAAAGAAUAAAAACUGGUUUUGUAGGUAUUUGACCUCUAUGAUUCUCUUAUGCCAUUGCCAACGUGUAGUACUAUUUAUCAUUUCACAGAUUCCUCUGAUACUAUAUUGUUGUUUGUUUACGAAACCGUUAAUGUAAAAUUUUCCUUAAGUGGAAACUGGUUUUGUAGGUUCUUGAUCUCAGCGAUUCUCUCAUGCAAAUUGAUGGAACAAGUUAAUAUAUUUCCUCAAAGUCUUUGGGAUUUGCAGCCCAGUAGACUCCUCAAGAAUGGUUAGUCCGUUAAUAAUGUUUUUCAUUGCUUCAAUCGAAUAUAUUCAUUGACCUUUUGUUACGUGAGUGGACACACAAGUUUUCUGUUACGAGAAAGAGUUAUAGCUGUGACCCUCUGUGUGCCUUUGGCUGAAAUGCUAGGUCCAACACCUAUGGCUGCCUUUCAGAUAUGCUUACAGGUCUGGACGACAUUGUCACUUAUUGUUGAUGGUUUGGCUAUUGCAGUUCAAGUAUCAAAUAUUGAAUAGAUUGUUGAAUCUUUUUUCUCCAAAUUGAAUCAUUUGUAG